AUUUUUGUUUGUUGAAGCAGACGAAACUAGCCAAUGAGCAUUGAAACUUUGAAAGUUGGUUCACAGAUUUUACCGUGUCAAACAGCCCUAUAGGAUUAAUUUGUGGAAUAGUUUAGGAGUCGCGUGGAUUGUCUGCUAUGUGCUACGCUACAAGAGAGCAAACAAGUGUUUAUACUAUUUGGGAAAUGGGAAGGUAAGGUAAAAGUCAAACAGUCCAAUCUCCGUCCAUUCUCAUUGGAAUUUCAUUUUCAAAGAUUGGAUCAGUUGAAAGUGGAUAUUCUUGCAUACUGCAUAGUGGUGCGUUGGACUUUCACAUGUCAGACUCAUGCAUAGCUCGACUUAGCUAAACAAAGAAGCAGGCAAGCAGAAAAAUUUCAAGUAUAGAGAAUGUCACCACCCUCUGCAGCCAGGGGAAAAUCAGUAUGUGUGGCCAGACUGGAAGACCAAGAGGAAGACCACCAAAAGCUUUAGCUGGGGCCGUAUUCUAGCCUUGACUUAAGCACGGAAUUUUUUCUUAACUUACUGUUUUUUGCUUAAAAAUCCAAUUUAUGCUUGGAUUUACCUAAAACCGUAUUCUAGCUUUUCUGAACUCACCUUUUUUUCUUAAGAAAUAUUUUGAACUUGUCUUUUUAAACUUAAGAAAGUAAAUUUUUGUAAGCCAACUAUUAGUUGGCUUACAGCGGUUAUUUUCUUAAAAUUCCGUGCUAAGGCUAAUGCUUACAGCUAUUGUUGUCCUAGUUUUUAGUAUUUUCACGUGUCAUUGUUUUGAUUUUCAAGUAACAACAUCUAGUGGUCUUGUUGAUUGUUGAUGAAUAAUUGAAGAUGAAUAACAUCGACAAGUUUGAACGUCACCUUGAUGUUUUGAACGAAGUUUUAAAUAGUGACAAUGACAGUGAUGCGAAUGAGGAUGAAUUGUAUGAAAAACGAAUAGAAGUGAGAAGGAGAA